rnacentral:rRNA from 1 species
UACAGAGGUCUCAAGCGUUUGUUCGGAUUCAUUGGGCGUAAAGGGUGCGUAGGCGGCGCGGUAAGUCGGGUGUGAAAUCUCGGAGCUUAACUCCGAAACUGCAUUCGAUACUGCCGUGCUUGAGGACUGGAGAGGAGACUGGAAUUUACGGUGUAGCAGUGAAAUGCGUAGAGAUCAUGAGGAAGACCAGUGGCGAAGGCGGGUCUCUGGACAGUUCCUGACACUGAGACACGAAGGCCAGGGGAGCAAACGGGG